AUUGGACGCUGGCGGCAGGCUUAACACAUGCAAGUCGAGCGGAGAUGAGGUGCUUGCACCUUAUCUUAGCGGCGGACGGGUGAGUAAUGCUUAGGAAUCUGCCUAUUAGUGGGGGACAACAUUCCGAAAGGAAUGCUAAUACCGCAUACGUCCUACGGGAGAAAGCAGGGGAUCUUCGGACCUUGCGCUAAUAGAUGAGCCUAAGUCGGAUUAGCUAGUUGGUGGGGGUAAAGGCCUACCAAGGCGACGAUCUGUAGCGGGUCUGAGAGGAUGAUCCGCCACACUGGGACUGAGACACGGCCCAGACUCCUACGGGAGGCAGCAGUGGGGAAUAUUGGACAAUGGGGGGAACCCUGAUCCAGCCAUGCCGCGUGUGUGAAGAAGGCCUUAUGGUUGUAAAGCACUUUAAGCGAGGAGGAGGCUACUGAGACUAAUACUCUUGGAUAGUGGACGUUACUCGCAGAAUAAGCACCGGCUAACUCUGUGCCAGCAGCCGCCGUAAGAC
rnacentral:rRNA from 1 species